UAGGGAAAAGGAGCAAUCCGCUUUGAGAUGGCCUCGCGUCCGAUUAGCUAGUUGGUGAGGUAAUGGCCCACCAAGGCGACGAUCGGUAGCCGGACUGAGAGGUUGAACGGCCACAUUGGGACUGAGACACGGCCCAGACUCCUACGGGAGGCAGCAGUGGGGAAUAUUGCACAAUGGGGGAAACCCUGAUGCAGCGACGCCGCGUGGAGGAUAAGGUCUUCGGAUUGUAAACUCCUGUUGUUGGGGAAGAUAAUGACGGUACCCAACAAGGAAGUGACGGCUAACUACGUGCCAGCAGCCGCGGUAAAACGUAGGUCACAAGCGUUGUCCGGAAUUACUGGGUGUAAAGGGAGCGCAGGCGGGAAGACAAGUUGGAAGUGAAAUCUAUGGGCUCAACCCAUAAACUGCUUUCAAAACUGUUUUUCUUGAGUAGUGCAGAGGUAGGCGGAAUUCCCGGUGUAGCGGUGGAAUGCGUAGAUAUCGGGAGGAACACCAGUGGCGAAGGCGGCCUACUGGGCACCAACUGACGCUGAGGCUCGAAAGUGUGGGUAGAAAACAGGAUUAGAUACCCUGGUAGUCCACACCGUAAACGAUGAUUACUAGGUGUUGGAGGAUUGACCCCUUCAGUGCCGCAGUUAACACAAUAAGUAAUCCACCUGGGGAGUACGACCGCAAGGUUGAAACUCAAAGGAAUUGACGGGGGCCCGCACAAGCAGUGGAGUAUGUGGUUUAAUUCGACGCAACGCGAAGAACCUUACCAAGUCUUGACAUCCCUUGACGAUGCUGGAAACAGUGUUUCUCUUCGGAGCAAGGAGACAUGUGGUGCAUGGUUGUCGUCAGCUCGUGUCGUGAGAUGUUGGGUUAAGUCCCGCAACGAGCGCAACCCUUAUGGUCAGUUACUACGCAAGAGGACUCUGGCCAGACUGCCGUUGACAAAACGGAGGAAGGUGGGGAUGACGUCAAAUCAUCAUGCCCUUUAUGACUUGGCUACACACGUACUACAAUGGCGUUAAACAAAGAGAAGCAAGACCGCGAGGUGGAGCAAAACUCAGAAACAACGUCCCAGUUCGGACUGCAGGCUGCAACUCGCCUGCACGAAGUCGGAAUUGCUAGUAAUCGUGGAUCAGCAUGCCACGGUGAAUACGUUCCCGGGCCUUGUACACACCGCCCGUCACACCAUGAGAGCCGGGGGGACCCGAAGUCGGUAGUCUAACCGCAAGGAGGACGCCGCCGAAGGUAAAACUGGUGAUUGGGGUG
rnacentral:rRNA from 1 species